ensembl:lncRNA
AUGGGCUACAACAGUUUUCUUCAUCAAGACAUGCAGUAGAAUCAACAGUCUUCACCGAAGGUUGUACCAGCAGAAAGGUAAAAACAGGCACACACAGUUCACCAUUUCACAAGUGCAAAGUGACGGCUCUGUGUUACUGCUAGCUUUGGAGUUAGCGAGCAGGUUGACAGUUGCAGGAUUUGUGUCCCACACUGAGCUCAACCUAUUCGUCCUCAUUUCCCUUGACAGGUCAAUCCAGAACUGGAUUCAGCUGGAAGUGUUUGCUCUCAUGAAGAAAUAUGGUGAGGAUUGAUGGGAUACCAGAGAGCGAUCCAUCAUCUCAGGCAGGAGGCGCUGUAUCGGAAUUUGGGAAAUCUGUUCCCAAUCACACCUACAGGCUGGCGGCCAUGUAAGAAACCCCCACCUCCUCAUCCAGCAUGCACCGUCCUCCCCUCAUCUGUGUGUCAGAACCGGAAAUCAAUGCGAGCCACUCAAGGUCAAUACUCUGUUGGUGAGCUCCCUACAAGCUUUGAUGGAAACAUCCCGCUCAAAGAGAGUCGACGCGAGGGGGAAUUGACAGUUGUUUCGUCCGAGCUGUUAAAGGGACAGUGAGUCUCAGAUGCUUGUCAUAGUGUCUGUCUGCUGUCAUUUACACAUUUU